GAUGAAGAACGCAGCGAAAUGCGAUAAGUAAUGUGAAUUGCAGAAUUCAGUGAAUCAUCGAAUCUUUGAACGCACAUUGCGCCCGCCAGUAUUCUGGCGGGCAUGCCUGUUCGAGCGUCAUUUCAACCAUCAAGCUCCCGGGCUUGCGUUGGGGCCCUGCGGCUGCCGCAGGCCCUGAAAAGCAGUGGCGGGCUCGCUGUCACACCGAGCGUAGUAGCAUACAUCUCGCUCUGGGCGUGCUGCGGGUUCCGGCCGUUAAACCACCUUCAUAACCCAAGGUUGACCUCGGAUCAGGUAGGAAGACCCGCUGAACUUAAGCAUAUCAAUAAGCGGAAGA
rnacentral:misc_RNA from 1 species